rnacentral:rRNA from 1 species
AGAGUUUGAUCCUGGCUCAGAUUGAACGCUGGCGGCAUGCCUUACACAUGCAAGUCGAACGGCAGCACGGGGGCAACCCUGGUGGCGAGUGGCGAACGGGUGAGUAAUACAUCGGAACGUGUCCUGGAGUGGGGGAUAGCCCGGCGAAAGCCGGAUUAAUACCGCAUACGCUCUGUGGAGGAAAGGGGGGGAUCUUCGGACCUCUCGCUCAAGGGGCGGCCGAUGGCAGAUUAGCUAGUUGGUGGGGUAAAGGCCUACCAAGGCGACGAUCUGUAGCUGGUCUGAGAGGACGACCAGCCACACUGGGACUGAGACACGGCCCAGACUCCUACGGGAGGCAGCAGUGGGGAAUUUUGGACAAUGGGCGCAAGCCUGAUCCAGCGAUGCCGCGUGUGUGAAGAAGGCCUUCGGGUUGUAAAGCACUUUUGUCCGGAAAGAAAACCAUCUGGCUAAUAUCCGGGUGGGAUGACGGUACCGGAAGAAUAAGCACCGGCUAACUACGUGCCAGCAGCCGCGGUAAUACGUAGGGUGCAAGCGUUAAUCGGAAUUACUGGGCGUAAAGCGUGCGCAGGCGGUUCGCUAAGACAGAUGUGAAAUCCCCGGGCUUAACCUGGGAACUGCAUUUGUGACUGGCGGGCUAGAGUAUGGCAGAGGGGGGUAGAAUUCCACGUAGCAGUGAAAUGCGUAGAGAUGUGGAGGAAUACCGAUGGCGAAGGCAGCCCCCUGGGCCAAUACUGACGCUCAUGCACGAAAGCGUGGGGAGCAAACAGGAUUAGAUACCCUAGUAGUCC